CGUUUCAUCAGCCGAGCGCCCCCCCGGGACGCCGGAAGGAGCCUCCGCGCGGAGCCGACCACGUGCACGGCAUCUUGGGGCACGGGUUCCCGCCGUCUCCCCACUGUAAAGGAGCGGCUUACUCCAGAGGUCCAGCCCCCUCACACACAAUCACGGAACCCGUGGAUGAGGCAGUAUUUGAGACCAGAAGUUUAUUGGGGACUUGGGUUUGGUUUUUGUUUGGUUGGUUUUGUCGUUGUUUUUAGAGUCGGGGGUUUCGCUGUGUUGCCCAGGCUGCUAUCGGACUCCUGACCUCAAGCGAUCCUCUUGCUUGGCCUCCCAAAGUGUUGGGAUUACAGGCGUGAGCCACCGCACCUGGCCGGGGACUUGUUUCUAAUGGAAAAUUGUGUAUGUGCUGUAUUGUUAAGAGCAUUGGUUUGGGGUCAGACUAGGCUGUGAUUCGGGUCUCUCCACUUCUUAUUAUCGUCUUUGGUAAAUUAUUUAACCUCUUUGUGCCUUCGUUUUCUGUAAAAAGCAGAUAAUUAUAGCUACUUCAUGAGGUCGUGUGAAGAUUUAAUGAGAUAGUGUGUGUGAAAUGUUCACAGCUACCAGACACAUACUCACUCGUGUUCCCAAUUGCUAUACUCACAAGGGCUCACUCCCAUCGCCAUCCUUCGUAAUUUCAAAGGGUCUACGGUUAAAAAUAUUCCAAAUUGUUGGGAAACUCUCAGACCCCAGAACUUAGCUGGCUGCAUGCUCGGCCAGCCCUCAGAGACAGCAUGAUUGGAGGCAGGAGCAGGAAUUGGCAACCUGAGAAGUAGAUACCACCCAGGCACCCUCAUUCACAAGGAUCCAGGUAGUGGGCUACUAAAAAUGAAGUUCAUUCAUUUAUUUAUCCACAAAUGGACAUUCAGUACCUGCUAAGGGACAGGCAUUGUACUGAGCAAGAGUGAACAAUACACACCAGGUCCCUAUUUAGUGUGCCUGAUUUCCAAACAAAACAAAAACAAAAAACAAUUUAGACGCGUGGGAGCAAGAGCCUCAAGAGAUAUUGAAGCUUUACUCACUGAUGAUAGGAUAUUAAAAGGGAUCCUGCAACAGGUGUGUGGCCUGAUCACCAUCUAUCUAAACCCUACCUCUCCAACAAGGUUGCCCUCCUCCAUGAAGCCAGAUGUGGUCCCCCUGCCCUUUCUGCCAGGCUGCCUUUACUCUUCAUUCUCACUGCUGGUCACUCCAGCGUGAACUUAGUGCUGACACAUCAAUCUCCUAUACCAGGGAGGCACAGAAGACAGGGGCCUUUGGAGCUGGCCCACCAGGCUCUACCACUUACUGGCAUGUGGCAUUGGCAGGCAGCUCAGCUCACUCUCUGAGUUUCAAUACCCUCAUUUAUGAAAGGCAGAUAACUGCUAAUCUGGGAGAUUGCAAGAAUUAAUUGAAGUGAUGAAAUGCUUAGAAGAAAAUGCUCAGUAAAAGUGUGGUGCAUUCUUGGACAACGAGGUAUCAUGUGUUUGCAUCUCUGAAAUGUCACCAGUGUUCAGUCCUGGCAUAGCAAGGAGGAGUGGGUGCUCAUGUAGAAUGGAGAAAGGACAAUAGAAUCCAGUGAAAGUAGGGUGAAAUCCAGUCAGGUGUGCUGGAAAGCAGACUUCAGUAGUGAUCAUCUUGAAUCCACAAGGUCCUUGUGGUGGGCCCAAGCCUCUCCCCACCCACAGCCUACCCUGGACUAAUCUUUACUCACUCUCUCCCAACACGUAAAAACCCUAUGCUCCAAAAAUACAGAGCAUCUCUCAUUUCCUCCUAUAACCCUCUCCCCCUGUUCUCUCACUUCUAGUUCUCAGUGGUUGCCAUUCUCUCCCAUCUGGAAAGUUGUCUCCAAACCCCAGCCCCAUCGUUCUACCUGACGAACCAACUCAUUCUCGGGUUUCAGCUGAAAGGGCCCUUCUUCUGGGAGCCCUGCCCUGUCCUGGGCCUAGGCCAGUUCCCCAUUCUCAUAGUUCAUUCUCAUAGUUACUCUUGUUUGUUUGUUUCUGGCUUUGUGUGUUUUUAUUUUUUGAGACAGGGUCUCACUCUGUCACCCAGGCUGGAGUACAGCAGCGCGAUCUUGGCUCACUGCAGCCCCGACCUCCUAGGCUCAAGUGAUCCUCCCACCUCAGCCUCCCAAGUAUCUGGGACUACAGGCAUGCACCACCAUUCCCGGCUAAUUUUUUAUUUUUAGUAGAGACAGGGUUUUACCAUGUUGCCCAAGCUGGUCUCGAACUCUUGAGCUCAAGCAAUACACCUGCCUCGGCCUCCCAAAGUGCUGGGAUUACAGGUGUAAGCCACUGCGUCCAGCCCUACUCUUGCUUAACCUACACUCAUCCCAUACCCAUCACAUGGUAUUGUCAUUGUUCAGUGUCCCCUUUCCCAAAAAGAGAGUAAGCCUUUUGGGCAUAGGGCUGUUUCUACCCAUGUUCAUAGCUAUCCCCCUGCCCCUAACCCUGUCCUCAGUAAUUGUUAAAUGCAUAUGAAGUAGUGAAUGAAUAAAUAUGAAUGAAAUCAUCAGGGCCUCAACUAUAGAUAAAUCCAAAUAACCACAAACCCCAGCCAAAGCCACCCUUACUCAGCAGUUGCUCCAUCUGUCCUGUUGUGUCUGUAAGGGUUACAGACCCAGGGCUGAGGGCUAGCUGCCAACACUGUUUGAUAACUUGGAUGAAGUAAGAGAAUGAACUUUUUUCCAGCCUGGCAGAACCUUAGUGUUGCAGCAGAUGGUACUGAGAGAACCUCAGAACUGCUGGAUGAGUAAGUGAAAAGGCAAAGAUCAAAAGAUCAAAACUUACAUCUUGGUGUUUUUUGGUUUUUUUUUUUUUCUUUUGGAGCUCAUGUGCCAGUUAUAGAUUCACUAACUUCCUAAACUUUUCAUGGAGACAUACUACUUGGAACAUUGCCAUGGCCUGAACAAAUUGAACCAAAGAAUGCAGUAUUAGUAAUUCAGGCUGGGAACUCAGACAGACCUGGGUUUAAAUCCAGACUUCACCACAAAUUGGCUCUGUGACCCUGUAGCCUCAGUUUCCUAAUCUGCAAAAUAGAAAUGAUAAUACCUACCUCAUAGAGAUGGUAGGAAAAUUAGAUUAUGUAUAUAGAGUACCUUGAAUGCCACCUGGUAUAAAGUUGAUGUUAAUAAAUGUGAGCUAUUUUAGAAAUUAUUUCCGAAAGUGUGUCCCACAGAAUGUUCCGUUGCUAGUGGCUCCAUUACAUUGAUUUCAGCUCCCGGAAGUCACAUCCUCAAAUGACGGACUCCACUAUGGGAGAGGUAGACUAACUGUACGUGAGAGCUUGGGACUAAAUACAUAGCUGUGCUUGGCAGGAGGUGUGCUGGAAGUCAGACAGAUCACAUGCUGUUUGUCAGGAAACCGGGCCUAAGUCAGAAGAAAAAAUCCUCUGAAUUCCUAUCAGGAAGGCCAGCAAUCCCCCCGGGGCAGAUAGGGGUCAGGGAUCUGUUUCUACACUAUGAACAGAAAGACAAGUGCCAGGGUCAGAAGAGUCAGAAGAGGGAGAACUCCCCUCUAGCGGCUGUGGAGAAGAGGCAAGGGCAGUUGAAGGCAAUUGGGCUUUUUUAACUAGGUAACUAGACUAUCGGUCUUUUCAUCUUUAAAAACCACCUAAGAUAAUUGUAGACAACCCAGUCAUGCUCUCUGAACAACCAGCCUUGUUUCUCUCCUAAACUUAUCAUCAACAGUAGCAUCUAGAAUGCUGCCAUCCUGCUUUGUAAGUUAUUUUCUUUUCUUUUUUGUUUUUUGAUACAGGAUCUCAACUUUGUUACCCAGGCAGGAGUGCAGUGGCACAAUCUUGGCUCACUGCAACCUCUGCAUCCCAGGUUCAAGCGAUCCUCCUGCUUUAGCCCCCACAAGUAGCUGAGACUAUAGGCAGCGCCACCACCAUAUCCAACUAAUUUUUUUCUUUUGUAUUUUUUGUAGAGACAGGGUUUCCCCCUGUUGCCCAGUCUGGCAUCGAUCACCUAAGCUCAAGCGAUCCACCCAUCUUGGCCUCCCAAAAUGCUAGGAUUAUAGGUGUCAGCCACUGCACCCGGCCCUGACCCAGGAGCCAGUGGCAUCUGAAAUUUUUUUAAAAGCCAGAGAAGAUCUAUGUUGACCUGAUGAUCUUUCACCUUCUAGAUCUCCCUGAACCACUGGCCAAAUCUUUCAAUAAAGAAUGUGCUUAACCUGCCUCUUAAGACCCAUGUAUUUGCACAAGAAGGAAAAAAAAAACCAGAAAAAAAAGCAAAACUAGAGCUGCCUGCCUGUGCUGAAGCUUUUUCAGUAAUUUCAGAGCCACUGAAGUGAUGUGAGAUCAGUUGACAAGAGAAAAACACUCUGAGAUCUGCCAGAAUGACCCUCAAGGGGAGAAAAAUAAUUAAACAGGUGGAAAAACAAGGAACACGCAAGACUGAUCAAAGCGUUUCUUUUCUGUUGAACAGCUUUUGCUGACUUCUGGUACCAUCAGUUUUCUUGAGUACAAUAAAGACCAACAAAUGCAGAAUGUUAGUUACGGGCCUUACUCAAUCAGGCUCAAAGGCUUUACUGGGGUUACAGGAAGCCAAGUACCCAGUCCACUAAUGUCCUGGGAGAAAAGCCUGAAGGCAGAGCAUGGUAGGUUUUCUCUUGCAGCCUGCAGGCUGAUCUGAUGGGACUUCAAUUCUGUCACUUCCUUGCUCUGUGACAUUGAACAUUCUGUAAGCCUCUGGGCCUCAGCUUUCUCAUCCAUGGAAGUGGGAUUACAGUGUCUAACCUGCAGGGCUGCUGUGUGUUUAUAUAUGUGCAUAGAACAUAAUGGCCUUCCCUUGAUAGAAGCAGAGAUUGGACAUGUGGCCUCUGACAAGUUACUUUUUUUUUUCUACAAGUUUCCCUCUCCUCUCCCCCAUUCAGAAAGUGGAAGGGGUAAUUCUUCAGGGAAUUUGUGAGAUGUUACCACAAGGUUACACAAUGGCUUGCUGUAAACUAUUUUAUGUCUUUUUUUUUUUUUUUUUUUUGAGACGGAGUCUUGCUCUGUCACUCAGGCUGGAGUGCAGUGGUGCGAUCUCGAUCUCAGCUCACUGCAACCUCCAACUCCCAGGCUCAAGCGAUUCUCAUGCCUCAGCAUCCUGAGUAGCUGGGACUACAGGUGCACACCACCACGCCCCAGUAAAUUUUUUGUAUUUUCAGUAGAGACAGGGUUUCGCUAUGUUGGCCAGGCUCGUCUCGAACUCCUGGCCUCAAAUGAUCCACCAGCCUCGGCCUCCCAAAGUGCUGGGAUUACAGGUGUGAGCCAUAUUUUAUGCCUUUUAUCAGGGCAUCCUCUGUAGGUUUACAUGACAUAAAAUUGCCCAGAGGGCAACUGAAGAGCAUCACUCUACAAUUUGGGAGAGGUAAAGGGAAAAGAAUCAGAUGGGUAAGAUACAUAAAAGGUAUAUAGCUAUGAAGUUGUUCAAUACUCAGUACACACCGUGGUUAAACACAGAUGCAAAAGCCGGAUUGCAAGUUUGAAUCUUGGCUCCAUCACUGCACAUCCUUGGGCUGGUUCCUUAACCUCUCUCAGUCUCAUAUCCCAUAAAAAAAAAAAAAGAAUUAAAUUAGUCAAUAUAAAUGUAAAAGUUCUUACAACUAGCUGGCACAUAGAAAGCUGUUAGCAGGCAGGGCAUGGUGGCUCACAUCCAUAAUCCCAGCACUUUGGG
rnacentral:lncRNA from 1 species